UUUAAUUGAAGAGUUUGAUCAUGGCUCAGAUUGAACGCUGGCGGCAGGCCUAACACAUGCAAGU
rnacentral:rRNA from 6 species